rnacentral:rRNA from 1 species
UACGUAGGGUGCAAGCGUUUGUCCGGAAUUAUUGGGGCGUAAAGAGCUUGUAGGCGGUUUGUCGCGUCUGCUGUGAAAUUUCGGGGCUCAACCCCGAACUUGCAGUGGGUACGGGCAGACUAGAGUGUGGUAGGGGAGACUGGAAUUUCCGGUGUAGCGGUGAAAUGCGCAGAUAUCAGGAGGAACACCGGUGGCGAAGGCGGGUCUCUGGGCCACUACUGACGCUGAGGAGCGAAAGCGUGGGGAGCGAACAGG